rnacentral:rRNA from 1 species
UACGAAGGGGGCUAGCGUUGUUCGGAAUCACUGGGCGUAAAGCGCACGCAGGCGGAUUGAUAAGUCAGGGGUGAAAUCCCGGGGCUCAACCUCGGAAUUGCCUUUGAUACUGUCUGUCUUGAGUUCGGGAGAGGUUGGCGGAAUUCCUAGUGUAGAGGUGAAAUUCGUAGAUAUUAGGAAGAACACCAGUGGCGAAGGCGGCCAACUGGCCCGAUACUGACG